AUGCCAUAUGCGCAGCAGCGCCGGAGUCGAGGUACCAGUCGGAUGUGCUACCCGACGACGAUGGCCCUGACGAAGCACUGUGCAGCGCAGCCUGAAGAGACGCCAUGUCCCAGGGCUGCUGCUGUUGAGGAGGCGGGGCAGCAGGGUAGCCGUAGCCAGGCGGCGGGCCGCCGGGGGCACCGUACCGUACAACGAUGCGGACAGCAUGGCCAUCAUGGCCUGCUGAUGAGGGGUCCCGGGGCGAGGCCCGAGCACGCCGGCUCCAGGUGCGCGCCAGGCGACAGGCCAAGCUUGAACAAGGCCCGUCCAGGAAUUGGUGCCGGGCGCCGGUGCAGGAUAGCCGGGCGGAGGGCGCGGCGGCUGCGGGCCAGCAGAGCUAGAAGCCCCCCCUCCCUCCCCCCUUGCCCACGUCCACGCUUCUUCCCGAGCCCGAUGAGUCGAUUGGUGGGGCGGCGGGCGCCGGCAGCGGAGGGCGCGCGGCGAUCAGCGCAUGGGCGCUCUGGUGACGUGUCGCCUGCUCAGCGCGGAGCUCCUCAAGCAGCAAGAACGAGCGCGUCUCCAGGAAGGCGCCGGAUGUCAACCGUCUGA
rnacentral:rRNA from 1 species